CCUACGGGUGGCAGCAGUGGGGAAUAUUGCACAAUGGGGUAAACCCUGAUGCAGCAACGCCGCGUGAAGGAAGACGGUUUUCGGAUUGUAAACUUCUUUUCUUAGUGAAGCAUAAUGACGUUAGCUAAGCAGCAAGCCACGGCUAACUACGUGCCAGCAGCCGCGGUAAUACGUAGGGAGCAAGCGUUGUCCGGAAUUACUGGGUGUAAUGGGAGCGCAGGCGGGAAGCCAAGUCAGCUGUGAAAACUACGGGCUUAAAGUGUCGACUGCAGUUGAAACUGGUUUUCUUGAGUGAACGAGAGGUAGGCGGAAUGCGGAGUGUAGCGGUGAAAUGCGUAGAUAUUAGGCAGAACACCGGUGGCGAAGGCGGCAAACUGG
rnacentral:rRNA from 1 species